rnacentral:rRNA from 1 species
UACGGAGGAUGCAAGCGUUAUCCGGAAUGAUUGGGCGUAAAGCGUCCGCAGGUGGCAAUGUAAGUCUGCUGUUAAAGAGUGAGGCUCAACCUCAUAAAAGCAGUGGAAACUACAUGGCUAGAGUGCGUUCGGGGCAGAGGGAAUUCCUGGUGUAGCGGUGAAAUGCGUAGAGAUCAGGAAGAACACCGGUGGCGAAAGCGCUCUGCUAGGCCGCAACUGACACUGAGGGACGAAAGCUAGGGGAGCGAAUGGG